rnacentral:rRNA from 1 species
AUUGAACGCUGGCGGAAUGCUUUACACAUGCAAGUCGAACGGCAGCACGGACUUCGGUCUGGUGGCGAGUGGCGAACGGGUGAGUAAUGUAUCGGAACGUGCCCAGUCGUGGGGGAUAACGUAGUGAAAAUUACGCUAAUACCGCAUACGAUCUAUGGAUGAAAGCGGGGGAUCGCAAGACCUCGCGCGAUUGGAGCGGCCGAUAUCAGAUUAGGUAGUUGGUGGGGUAAAGGCCCACCAAGCCAACGAUCUGUAGCUGGUCUGAGAGGACGACCACCCACACUGGAACUGGGACACAGUCCAGACUCCUACGGGAGGCAGCAGUGGGGAAUUUUGGACAAUGGGCGAAAGCCUGAUCCAGCCAUUCCGCGUGCAGGAUGAAGGCCCUCGGGUUGUAAACUGCUUUUGUACAGAACGAAAAGGUUUCUACUAAUACUAGGAGCUCAUGACGGUACCGUAAGAAUAAGCACCGGCUAACUACGUGCCAGCAGCCGCCGUAA